GGCGACCGGGUGAGUAACACGUGACUAACCUACCUUUGAGUGGGGAAUAACCUCGGGAAACCGGGGCUAAUACCGCAUAACACCGAGAGGUCAAAGGAGCAAUCCGCUUGAAGAGGGGGUCGCGGCUGAUUAGCUAGUUGGUAGGGUAAUGGCCUACCAAGGCAGUGAUCAGUAUCCGGCCUGAGAGGGCGCACGGACACACUGGAACUGAAACACGGUCCAGACUCCUACGGGAGGCAGCAGUGGGGAAUUUUGCACAAUGGGGGAAACCCUGAUGCAGCAACGCCGCGUGGAGGAUGAAGCCCCUUGGGGCGUAAACUCCUUUCGAUCGGGACGAUUAUGACGGUACCGGAAGAAGAAGCACCGGCUAACUCUGUGCCAGCAGCCGCGGUAAUACAGAGGGUGCAAGCGUUGUUCGGAAUUAUUGGGCGUAAAGGGCGCGUAGGCGGUGCGGUAAGUCAGCUGUGAAAUCUCCGGGCUCAACUCGGAGCCUGCAGUUGAAACUGCCGUGCUUGAGUAUG
rnacentral:rRNA from 1 species